GGUAUAUAUGAUCAAAUGGGGUCAAAAUUAAAGCUCAGGUAUGAGAGCUGUGUGUGUGUGUGUGUGUGUGUGUGUGUGUGUGUGUGUGUGUGUGUGUGUGUGUGUGUGUGUGUGUAUGUGUGUGUGUGUGUGUGUGUGUGUGUGUGUGUGUGUGUGUGUGUGUGUGUA